GAUGAACGCUAGCGGCAGGCCUAACACAUGCAAGUCGAGGGGUAGAACACUUCGGUGUUUGAGACCGGCGCACGGGUGCGUAACGCGUAUGCAAUCUGCCUUACACUAAGGGAUAGCCCAGAGAAAUUAGGAUUAAUACCUUAUAGUAUAUUGAUGUAGCAUUACAUUAUUAUUAAAGUUUUAUCGGUGUAAGAUGCGCAUGCGUCCCAUUAGCUAGUUGGUAUGGUAACGGCAUACCAAGGCUAUGAUGGGUAGGGGUCCUGAGAGGGAGAUCCCCCACACUGGUACUGAGACACGGACCAGACUCCUACGGGAGGCAGCAGUGAGGAAGAUUGGUCAAUGGGCGCAAGCCUGAACCAGCCAUGCCGCGUGCAGGAUGAAGCAUCUAUGGUGUGUAAACUGCUUUUGUACGGGAAGAAACACCUCUUCGUGAAGAGGCUUGACGGUACCGUAAGAAUAAGGAUCGGCUAACUCCGUGCCAGCAGCCGCGGUAAUAC
rnacentral:rRNA from 1 species